rnacentral:misc_RNA from 1 species
UCCCCGUUGCCAGGGCGGUCUGAGUAGAAAAAUUCAACUACUCACAAGGGUUGCGCUCGUUGAUGGACUUAACCAAACAUCUCACGACACGAGCUGACGACGGCCAUGCAACACCUGUCACUGCGCUCAAUAAAGCACUCCUACCUUUCGGUAAGAUUCGCAGGAUGUCAAACCUGGGUAAGGUUCUUCGCUUAUCAUCGAAUUAAACAACACGCUCCACCGCUUGUGCGGGUCCCCGUCAAUUCCUUUAUGUUUUAAGCUUGCGCUCGUACUCCACAGGCGGGAUGCUUAACGCGUUAGCUUCGCCACACACCGGGUCGAUACGGUGUACGGCUAGCAUCCAUCGUUUACGGCGUGGACUAC